rnacentral:rRNA from 1 species
UACGUAGGGGGCAAGCGUUGUCCGGAUUUAUUGGGCGUAAAGAGCUCGUAGGCGGCUUGUCGCGUCGGCCGUGAAAACCUGGGGCUCAACCCCAGGCUUGCGGUCGAUACGGGCAGGCUAGAGUUCGGUAGGGGGGACUGGAAUUCCUGGUGUAGCGGUGAAAUGCGCAGAUAUCAGGAGGAACACCGGUGGCGAAGGCGGGUCUCUGGGCCGAUACUGACGCUGAGGAGCGAAAGCGUGGGGAGCGAACAGG